GCUUACGGCCAUACCACCCUGAACACGCCCGAUCUCGUCUGAUCUCGGAAGCUAAGCAGGGUCGGCCUGGUCAGUACUUGGAUGGGAGACCGCCUGGGAAUACCAGGUGCUGUAAGCU
ensembl:rRNA 5S_rRNA 5S ribosomal RNA